CCUACGGGGGGCUGCAAUUAGGAAUCUUGCGCAAUGGGGGAAACCCUGACGCAGCGACGCCGCGUGAAGGAUGAAGGUUCUCGGAUCGUAAACUUCUUUUAAGUGGGAAGAAAUUUGACGGUACCACUUGAAUAAGCCCCGGCUAACUACGUGCCAGCAGCCGCGGUAAUACGUAGGGGGCGAGCGUUGUCCGAAGUUACUGGGCGUAAAGCGCGCGUAGGCGGCCAUUUAAGUCUGGGGUGAAAGGUUCAGCGCUCAACGUGAACAGUGCCUUG
rnacentral:rRNA from 1 species